CAAGCCUUAGCCUGCCUCUAGACCAGCUCUCAAUUGUUCAAUUAUCUUUGCACUAACACUAGUAUAAUUUGCCAAUUUGACAGAGUCACACCUCCAAGCCAUUACACGUAUUACAAUCAGUUUUUUAUCCAGUCUUCCCAAACGCUCUGACCACUCUCCCCACUACAGACUUGGGGAUCUGCAUCUAUACGCUUUCAUUAUUACUCUUUUCUUAGUCUCAGCAGCUGAGGCUAGCUUCAGAAAUCUCUGCAUCUGAAGAUGACCUCGGACUUCUGCUUUGCCUGCCCCCACCACCCAAGUGCUGACCUCACAGACAUCUGCCAGCAUACCAGGUUUCUGCCGUGCUGGGGAUGGGAGCCAGGGCUCCAUGCAUGCUGGGUAAACAGUGAAAGGAAAGUCCCUACAGUCGGCUGAACAACAGGAAAGUGACUAAACAGGACAUGGGUCAUGGUCACACCCACUGCGGGAAGAAGCAAUGCCACACAGUGCUAAGGAGAUGGAAGUCUUCGUCGCGUGCGCCCCCUGCUAAGAUCAUACCACCUACUUUGGGUCCAUGAAGGCCACUGAGGGGCACUGCAUUUCCUGGAAGUGGAGUUACACACAGUUGUGAGCUGCCGCGUGGGUACUGGGAAUCAAACCUAACCU